rnacentral:rRNA from 1 species
AUUGAACGCUGGCGGCAGGCUUAACACAUGCAAGUCGAGCGGGGUGAUGGUGCUUGCACUAUCACUUAGCGGCGGACGGGUGAGUAAUGCUUAGGAAUCUGCCUAUUAGUGGGGGACAACAUCUCGAAAGGGAUGCUAAUACCGCAUACGUCCUACGGGAGAAAGCAGGGGAUCGCUUGUGACCUUGCGCUAAUAGAUGAGCCUAAGUCGGAUUAGCUAGUUGGUGGGGUAAAGGCCUACCAAGGCGACGAUCCGUAGCGGGUCUGAGAGGAUGAUCCGCCACACUGGGACUGAGACACGGCCCAGACUCCGACGGGAGGCAGCAGUGGGGAAUAUUGGACAAUGGGGGGAACCCUGAUCCAGCCAUGCCGCGUGUGUGAAGAAGGCCUUAUGGCUGUAAAGCACUUUAAGCGAGGAGGAGGCUCUUUUGGUUAAUACCCAAGAUGAGUGGACGUUACUCGCAGAAUAAGCACCGGCUAACUCUGUGCCAGCCGCCGCCGUAA